CACACACACACACACACGUUUCCAUAGAGAGAGGUUCCACUUUGCAUUAGCAGCUCAUGCUUCAGCGCUCUGCGAGUGUUUAUAGCCCUGUGACUUUAACACUUCAUGACUGAGAGCUGCUGCUCAGCGACUUCACCCACAGCAACCAUGAGUUUGAUCAGCGUCUUCAUCUGCACACUGGCCCUCUGCGCUCGAGGAUCCAGAGGUCAGGUGACUGUGACUCAGAGUCCUGCAGUGAAAUCUGUUUCUCCAGGAGACACACUCACCAUCAGCUGUAAAACCAGUCCUGCUGUUUACUCUAUUGGUAGUACUUAUUUUUUGUCCUGGUAUCAGCAGAAAGCUGGAGAAGCUCCUAAAGUCCUGAUCUACAGGGCUAGCAGUAGAGAAUCAGGUAUUCCAGCUCGUUUCAGUGGCAGUGGAUCUGGAUCUGAUUUCACUCUGACCAUCAGUGGAGUCCAGGCUGAAGAUGCUGGAGAUUAUUACUGUCAGAGUGUACAUUCUAUCAGUAGUAGCUAUGUGUUCACACAGUGUUAGAGCGUCGUACAAAAACCUGGGUGAGUGUGACUGCUGCAGCUGGGACCUACUGCAGGUGCUGAGGGGGACGAUGUGAUACAGCACAAUGACACACACAGUGGAGCAGAACACACACUCACACACACACUCACACACUCACAACUCUAUACAUAUAUGUCUGUGUAUGCACACACACUACACAGACAACACAAUGCACUCACUACUCCACACACAAACACACUACUAUUACUACUACUACACACACACACACACACACACACACACACCCCUAUGAUAGAAAAAGUCCUCAUUUCUCCACUACAGGAUAAAUUUGAUAAACAUUAAUUUACAGUAAGUUUAUAUUAUGAAGCAGGCUUUGCUGAAACAUACAGCAAAACAUGUGUGUCAUCAGCCUAGCAGUGGAAGCUAACAGCAUGUUAAUGAAUCAUUUUACCCAGAGGUAGCAUGCUUAGGGAAAAAGCAAUUCAAUUCAAUUCACUUCAAUUCUAUUCAAUUAAAUUCAUCUGUAUUGCCAUUGUAUCAAAACAAUUUACAAAGUAUAAUAAAACAGUCAUUUUACCUCUCUGGUGCAAGACAAUAGACAAAGACAGUAGACAAAAGACAGACAAUAGGUGCAGAGUUAGUGAAUACAUGAUACACUACAUGGCUAACAGUAUGUGGACACCUGACCAUCACAGACCUAUGUGGGCCUUCUCCAAACUGUUGCCACAAAGUUGGAAGCACAUACUGUAAUUAGAUAAGAUGUCUUUGUAUGCUGUAACAUUAAGUUUUCCCUUCACUGCAACUAAGGGGCCAAAACCUCCCCGAAACCUCACCACAGUGCCCCUGUGUGUAAAGUAAGGUUCAUAAAGACAUGAUUUGCAAAGGUUGGAUUGAAAGAAGUUGAGUGGCCUGCACAGAGCCCUGACCUCAACCCCACUGAACACCUUUGAGAUGAAUUGGAACACAAAUUGUGCCCCAGGCCUCCUCACCUGACAUCAGUACGUGACCUCACUAAUGCUCUUGUGGUUGAAUGGGCUAAUCCCCACAGCCAUGCUCCAAAAUCUAGUAGAAAGCCCUUCCAGAAGAGUGGAGGUUAUUAUAACAGCAAAGUGGGGACUAAAUAUAUAAUAGGAUGUUUAACAAGCACGUAUGGGUGUGAUCGGUGAAGUGUCCACGUACUUUUGUCCAUAUAGUGUAUGUGCAAUGAACAGUAACUGUAGGUCUAAUGUAGAAGAGGUAGAUUUUUAAAGUGCAAAUUAUGUUUAAGCAAAAAA